UACGUAGGGUGCGAGCGUUAAUCGGAAUUACUGGGCGUAAAGCGUGCGCAGGCGGUUUUGUAAGCCAGAUGUGAAAGCCCCGGGCUUAACCUGGGAAUGGCAUUUGGGACUGCAAGGCUUGAGUGCGGCAGAGGAGACUGGAAUUCCUGGUGUAGCAGUGAAAUGCGUAGAUAUCGCUUGGAACGCCAACGGUGAAAACAGGUUGCUGGGGGUGUGCUGACGCUGAGACACGAAAGCCAGGGGAGCGAACGGG
rnacentral:rRNA from 1 species